AACGAACGCUGGCGGCAUGCCUAACACAUGCAAGUCGAACGAGACCUUCGGGUCUAGUGGCGCACGGGUGCGUAACGCGUGGGAACCUGCCCUUAGGUUCGGAAUAACUCCCCGAAAGGGGUGCUAAUACCGGAUAAUGUCUUCGGACCAAAGAUUUAUCGCCUUUGGUUGGGCCCGCGUUGGAUUAGCUAGUUGGUAGGGUAAAAGCCUACCAAGGCGACGAUCCAUAGCUGGUCUGAGAGGAUGAUCAGCCACACUGGGACUGAGACACGGCCCAGACUCCUACGGGAGGCAGCAGUGGGGAAUAUUGGACAAUGGGCGAAAGCCUGAUCCAGCAAUGCCGCGCGAGUGAUGAAGGCCUUAGGGUUGUAAAGCUCUUUUACCCGGGAUGAUAAUGACAGUACCGGGAGAAUAAGCUCCGGCUAACUCCGUG
rnacentral:rRNA from 1 species